rnacentral:rRNA from 1 species
GACAGAGGAUGCAAGCGUUAUCCGGAAUGAUUGGGCGUAAAGCGUCUGUAGGUGGCCUUUCAAGUCUGCCGUCAAAUCCCAGGGCUCAACCCUGGACAGGCGGUGGAAACUACCAAGCUGGAGUACGGUAGGGGAUACUGGAAUUCCUGGUGUAGCGGUGAAAUGCGCAGAUAUCAGGAGGAACACCGGUGGCGAAGGCGGGUCUCUGGGCCGAUACUGACGCUGAGGCACGAAGGUCAGGGGAGCAAACGGG